GAGAGCUUGCUCUCUGAUUUAGCGGCGGACGGGUGAGUAAUGCCUAGGAAUCUGCCUGGUAGUGGGGGAUAACGUCCGGAAACGGGCGCUAAUACCGCAUACGUCCUACGGGAGAAAGCAGGGGACCUUCGGGCCUUGCGCUAUCAGAUGAGCCUAGGUCGGAUUAGCUAGUUGGUGAGGUAAUGGCUCACCAAGGCUACGAUCCGUAACUGGUCUGAGAGGAUGAUCAGUCACACUGGAACUGAGACACGGUCCAGACUCCUACGGGAGGCAGCAGUGGGGAAUAUUGGACAAUGGGCGAAAGCCUGAUCCAGCCAUGCCGCGUGUGUGAAGAAGGUCUUCGGAUUGUAAAGCACUUUAAGUUGGGAGGAAGGGUUGUAGAUUAAUACUCUGCAAUUUUGACGUUACCGACAGAAUAAGCACCGGCUAACUUCGUGCCAGC
rnacentral:rRNA from 1 species